rnacentral:rRNA from 1 species
AUUCCAGCUCCAAGAGAGUCUGCUAAAGUUGCUUCGGUCAUAAAUCUAGUACUUAAAUUUCUGUUGAGGACGAUCGGUCCGCCCCCUAGAAGGGCAUCUGGUUCGGCUUGGGCAUCUUCUUGUGGGACGUAUCUGCAUUUGAUUGUGGCGCGGCAUCCGGGGCUUCUGCUUCGAGGAAAUUAAAGUGUUCCAAGCAGGCCUGCGCCUAGAAUACACUAGCAUGGAAUAAUAAGAUAGGACAUCGGCUCAUGCUGUUAGCUUCUAGAGCUGAGGUAAAGAUUAAUAGGGAUAGCUUGGGGCAUACGUAUUGAGCUGUCAGAUGUAGAAUUCGUGGACUUGUUGGAGACGGACGACUGCGAAAGCAAUUGCCAAUGAUGUUUUCAUCA